rnacentral:misc_RNA from 1 species
GAUGAAGAACGCAGCGAAAUGCGAUAAGUAAUGCGAAUUGCAGAAUUCAGUGAAUCAUCGAAUCUUUGAACGCACAUUGCGCCCGCCAGUAUUCUGGCGGGCAUGCCUGUUCGAGCGUCAUUUCAACCCUCAAGCCCCCGGGCUUGGUGUUGGGGAUCGGCGUGCCCUCGCGGCGCGCCGUCCCCUAAAUCUAGUGGCGGUCUCGCUGUAGCUUCCUCUGCGUAGUAGCAACACUCGCACUGGAUCGCAGCGCGGCCACGCCGUUAAACCCCCCACUUCUGAAAGUUUGACCUCGGAUCAGGUAGGAAUACCCGCUGAACUUAAGCAUAUCAAUAAGCGGAGGA